rnacentral:lncRNA from 1 species
AUCGUCCGAUGAAUCGAACUAUCUAACCCGUCGCAGCUGCAGACAAAAUGGCUGCCCUCUGAGGAAUUUCAGUAACGAGGAACCAAUUAAGCUGCGUGUUGUAUUUUCGUUGCUGAUUCUUGUUAACGUGUAAAGUUUUGCCGUUAAAAAUGCCAAAGAAAUCCAGCAAAGCUCAGUGGAACGGAAGAGAUCCCGCUGCGCAAAACGUGCAGGGUAAACACUACUUCGGACCAGCGUCACUGUACACACAGGCAUCCAAUCUGCAACAUUAAGUUUACAUCGGAAUGCUCUCAGCGAAACAUAAUUAUUCACAUAUGCAAGCCAAUUUUUUGGUUCACACAAUUGCAGUGAAUGAUCGUUACUAAUAUCCCAGCGAGUGCUCGAAGCUUCGCUGUAUAUCCAGCCACGUGUACGCAUACGUAUACAGAAAACCACGAUGAGUAGGUCUUUUUUCCAAUCAGUUCUCACCUGCUGCUAGAGCUUCUACCUCGUGGGCGGCAACGUUUAUUGACCAUCCAACCCUUGCCUCGCCUCCGUUCGUCGGCCUGUAAGCGUCGCGUGUCUAGAGUCUCGAUUUUAUGGUAUAUAUAUAUAUGUUACUUUAUUUCCUGAGUGUAUACGUGUAAUUGUCACGUCCGUGCUCAUAGAUACCUUUAUAGUACAAUGCGUUAAUAAUAACCUUGUAAUAACUUUGGUUAGGAAAAUCUUUCGCUCGAUGCAAUUGUCGACUGUACCCAGUAUCUGAACAUUCACUUAUCUUUUUUUUUUCACAACAUUAAUUAAACUUUUCUAUACGUUGCGUCAUCUCCGUUUCCUUAUUUUCAUAUAUAGGUAUAUAGUUUAUAAUGUACGUGCAUUGUAUUUCACGCAUAAACAACAUUUACACGUGUCAGCAAGAUGUUCUCAUAAUUUAAUAAUUGAUUUCAGCAAAUUAGGUUAUAUAAAUGUGUAUAUAGCCACCGCUUCUUCUGUUCGCGGAAUUAUAGCAAUGGCUUUUGCGAAUAUUUUUUUUUUUUUUCUUUUCCUCUUAUUCAUUUUUCACUCCUCUCCAUUGUUUUCCUGUCAGUUAUGUACCUAUAUGUAUAUAUUAUUAUUAUUAUUAUUAUUAUACGACACAUAAAAGGAUACAACAAUGACAUAACGAUAACGCGGUGAAACUACUCCAGUUUCAUGUACCGCGAUGUAUAUGGUGUUAUAGAUACAGGAACACAUACACAAUAGUACAUUAUACUGAGGUAUUUGAAAAGUUUCCUCGAAUUAACCAGGGUCUUUGAACUGUCGCGUCGUCCCGACUUUCGAUCUUUGGCUCCGCACGGUUAUAGCAUCUAGUCGCGUUGUUCAAAUUUUCCAUUGCCGUUGGAUGACUUGUCAUUACUUUGCGAGAACCAUUAUUACCCUAUCGAUCGGUGAUGACAAUAAUAAUAGCUGUAUUUAUAAGAGUAUAGGUAUGUAUAAAGUAUGCAUGAAAUAAAGAUAAAUAUUACCUAACAAUAGCAGUG